CGUGGGUAACCUGCCCUUUAAACUGGGAUAACUUCGCGAAAGCGAUGCUAAUACCGGAUAUUGUCUCUGGGACUGUGGUUUUGGAGAUGAAAGGUGACCUCUUCAUGAAAGUUGCCGUUUAAGGAUGGGCUCGCGUACCAUUAGCUAGUUGGUGGGGUAAUGGCCCACCAAGGCGACGAUGGUUAGCUGGUCUGAGAGGAUGAUCAGCCACACUGGAACUGGAACACGGUCCAG
rnacentral:rRNA from 1 species